rnacentral:rRNA from 1 species
AUUGAACGCUGGCGGCGUGCUUAACACAUGCAAGUCGAUCGGUAACGCGGGGGCAACCCUGGCGACGAGAGGCGGACGGGUGAGGAACGCUUGGGAAUCUGCCUAUCAGCGGGGGACAACACGGGGAAACCCGUGCUAAUACCGCAUACGCUCUACGGAGGAAAGCCGGGGACCGCCAGGCCUGGCACUGAGAGAUGAGCCCAAGCCGGAUUAGCUAGUGGGCGGGGUAACGGCCCACCAAGGCGACGAUCCGUAGCUGGUCUGAGAGGUCGAUCAGCCACACUGGGACUGAGACACGGCCCAGACUCCUACGGAAGGCAGCAGUGGGGAAUAUUGGACAAUGGGGGAAACCCUGAUCCAGCGACGCCGCGUGGGUGAAGAAGGCCUGCGGGUUGUAAAGCCCUUUCGGUAGGGACGAAAGCUCUCGACCUAACACGUCGGGAGGUUGACUUAACCUACAAAAGAAGCACCGGCUAACUCUGUGCCAGCCGCCGCCGUAACAC